GGGGAAUCAUCCACGUCUACGUCGUUCCACGACUUUGUUGGAACUUGGGCAACUUCCUAAGUUCCUUGGGCACACCUCUGUUCAACCAGCGUCGCUACGCAGCUUCGUACAAUUAUCGUUACUAUUCCGUUUCCGUAUCUUUCCCAUAUUUUUAGCCCUUUAUAUCUGAACUUGCAGUUUCGUUUUUCUGCCACAAGUGUUAACAAAUCCUCUUGAUACUGUCUUUGCAUCGUCGUUGCAAUGUUUUGGAUCGGGCUUUCGGAUCUUGAUGAUGUGGCGAAGAUUGAAAUGGUAAAGAAUUCUUACUGGAACUGGACCUAUCAGAGAUAUUUUGCAUAUUUUGCUCCCACGAUUAGUAAAAAUAUUCAGGUAUUUUUAUCUCUUAAACUAAUUACUGUCGUUUAUCGAGACAGAGACAUUAUUAUUAUUAUAUAUGCCUGUCUACUUUUAUUACAACAUCUGUAUAUUAACAUACUUAAAUGUAUCCACCAUUAUCAGGAGCAACGCUAAUUUUUGAAUAAGCGCUGAAGCUUGAAAGGAAAGGUUUAUAUCGGAAAUUAACUUGCAUUCAGAAACUGACGCGGCACACGCUAAAUCUUCUGUACUUAUACGGUUAGCAGAGAACGUGGCAGCGCGGUGGAAAAAUUCUGCAACGCGACACGAGACGGCAAUCGCUUAAUUGUGAUUAAUUGCGGUUUUACCAGGAAAAGAUCGCGUUGUAACGCGCGGCCCGAUUACCCGGCGCGAGUCGUUCAAGCGAUUCGCUUGCUCGCGCAACUUUAAAGAGCCAGUUGCGUGCAAUGCUUGUUUCCUUACUUUCACGCAUCGUAUCGAAACUAUAGCCCUCUUGAUUUCUCAGCCAUUCUACUCGAUCGUGCACGCUGAUCCUUUUUCACGAUAACGGUUAAGACCAUCCUCUUUCUACCUCUGGCUGACCGCCGCAAAUAACUUUAUUGCGGCAAUUAAAAUUAUCGCUGUCCCGGUUAAAUCAUCUGGUAUUAUAACAUUUUUUUCACGAUAAGCUUCUUUCUCUUAAACUCUUAGUAUAUACGUUCAUGGAAAUGUAUUUUCAUUAUUUUUCCAAAUCAACACACGCACUCUCUUUUGGAGUUUACUCUUUUGAAGAAGAUCCAAUAUUCUGCACAAAUAUUUUCUUUAGGCCUUUAAUGCUUCCUAAUCCUAUUCACCUUACAAGUUUUUCUAGGAACCAGAUUAGUUCUAUAGAUAUGUAUAAAUUGUAGCUUGGCAGCUCUAGUGUUAAUUAAACGGUACAUGAUGUAAAUGUCAAAUAAUCUUGAAAUCUCUACGUACAAUAAUUCUAUCCAACUUAUAAUUCCUCUGACUGCUAAAGUAUAACAAAAUUUUGCACACAUGGAUGAUUGGCUUUUAAAUUAUUUUCCAGGAGGCUGUGUAAUUAUAUCAUCCUUAAUGUUCAUGUCACAGGAAAAUGUGCCAUGAACCGCAAUACAAUUUACCUGCAUCACGUUCAAGAUGAAUACUUACAAGAUGUAAGCUUAAGGUACGAUGGAAGGAGGAAAGUUUCGAUGCCUAUUGCUGCGACAUCCGGUUUCCGGGCAAGUGAAAUGGCGAAUGGAAUAAUUUAAUACAGGGGCGAUACAAGGGCCAAAGCGAUCGGUCUAAUCGUGUCUGAACGAGGUUAAAACACCGGCACCCGCCGCUCUUAUUUACGUCCGACAAUAAGUCAAUUCAUCACUCUGCGAUUUGGCCUUAAGUGGUAUCACUGACUCAUACACACAGCCGUCUGGAGCGGUGUGCCUAUUUCGGGCAUAAAUCACUGUUGCCCGUGCGGUGCGUAAUAAUGAACAAGCGAGCGUAGCACGCGACCCUUUAAACGUGCUGGCUGGAAAACGAGUGGCUCGUAAGGUAGCAGGGAUUAGCUUUGGUCCCUAUGUGUCCCUGCUUAAUCCUGAAAACGUUACGGGCCGCGAAAUUCUUCGCCAGUAUCAGGUCACGUAAAAAUGCAAUUUUAUGAGUACGUAGGUUUACAAACCAGGAGCCAGGCUAUGCAGAUAAUAACGAAGAUAAAGAAAUGGAUUUUUAUUGCUUGAUACAUUGGUAAAGCUAGCGUAUAAUCAGUUUAGAUAUUUCAGGAGUGUCGUGGUCGAAGGAAUAUUUUUAGAACGGUAACUCUAGGAUUUGAAUUGCGAGGGCAAAAUUGUUUCUAGUAUGCAGUCGGUGAUGCAAUUGCGUUUGCUCAGAGAAAUAGAAGAUACCAGGGAAGAUAACGCGAA